rnacentral:rRNA from 1 species
UACGGGGGGGGCAAGCGUUGUUCGGAAUUACUGGGCGUAAAGGGCGCGUAGGCGGUUCGCUAAGUUGGAUGUGAAAACUCUGGGCUCAACCCAGAGCCUGCAUCCAAAACUGGCGGGCUAGAGUUCUGGAGGGGGUAGCGGAAUUCCUGGUGUAGCGGUGAAAUGCGCAGAUAUCAGGAAGAACACCGAUGGCGAAGGCAGCUCUCUGGGACGGUACUGACGCUGAGACGCGAAAGCGUGGGGAGCGAACAGG